CCUGGCGGCCAUAGCGCGGUGGUCCCACCUGAUCCCAUGCCGAACUCAGAAGUGAAACGCCGUAGCGCCGAUGGUAGU
rnacentral:rRNA from 1 species